GGUGCUGUGGCUUAGUUGGUUAAAGUGCCUGUCUAGUAAAUAGGAGCUCAUGGGUUUGAAUCCCAGCAGCGUCU